rnacentral:rRNA from 1 species
UGAGGAAUAUUGGACAAUGGGCGCAAGCCUGAUCCAGCCAUGCCGCGUGCAGGAAGAAGCAUCUAUGGUGUGUAAACUGCUUUUGUACGGGAAGAAACACUCCUACGUGUAGGAGCUUGACGGUACCGUAAGAAUAAGGAUCGGCUAACUCCGUGCCAGCAGCCGCGGUAAUACGGAGGAUCCAAGCGUUAUCCGGAAUCAUUGGGUUUAAAGGGUACGUAGGCGGUUUAAUAAGUCAGUGGUGAAAGCCCAUCGCUCAACGAUGGAACGGCCAUUGAUACUGCUAGACUUGAAUUAUUAGGAAGUAACUAGAAUAUGUAGUGUAGCGGUGAAAUGCUUAGAUAUUACAUGGAAUACCAAUUGCGAAGGCAGGUUACUACUAAUGGAUUGACGCUCAUGCACGAAAGCGUGGAGAGCAAACA